rnacentral:rRNA from 1 species
GACAGAGGGUGCAAACGUUGCUCGGAAUCACUGGGCGUAAAGGGCGUGUAGGCGGGACGGUAAGUCGGGCGUGAAAUCCCUAGGCUCAACCUAGGAACUGCACUCGAAACUACCAUUCUUGAGUGUCGGAGAGGAAGCGGAAUUCCUGGUGUAGAGGUGAAAUUCGUAGAUAUCAGGAGGAACACCAGUGGCGAAGGCGGCUUCUGGACGAUAACUGACGCUGAGACGCGAAAGCGUGGGAGCAACAGG